GGCAUUGAGUGCACCCUCAGUCAAUUUGCAGAUGACACCAAGCAGUGGGAUUGAGUGCACCCUCAGCAAAUUUGCCAAAGACAGCAAGUUGUGUGGUGUGGUUGACAGCCUGGAGGGAAAGGAUGCCAUCCAGAGGAACCUUGACAGGCUUGAGAGGU